GUGCCAGCAGCCGCGGUAACACGUAGGGGGCAAGCGUUGUCCGGAUUUAUUGGGCGUAAAGAGCUCGUAGGCGGCUCAGUAAGUCAGGUGUGAAACCUCCAGGCUCAACCUGGAGACGCCACCUGAUACUGCUGUGGCUAGAGUCCGGUAGGGGAGCGUGGAAUUCCUGGUGUAGCGGUGAAAUGCGCAGAUAUCAGGAGGAACACCAGCGGCGAAGGCGGCGCUCUGGGCCGGAACUGACGCUGAGGAGCGAAAGCGUGGGUAGCAAACAGGAUUAGAUACCCCGGUAGUCC
rnacentral:rRNA from 1 species